rnacentral:rRNA from 1 species
GUAGGUGGCAAGCGUUGUCCGGAAUUAUUGGGCGUAAAGCGCGCGCAGGCGGUUCUUUAAGUCUGAUGUGAAAGCCCACGGCUCAACCGUGGAGGGUCAUUGGAAACUGGAGAACUUGAGUACAGAAGAGGAAAGCGGAAUUCCACGUGUAGCGGUGAAAUGCGUAGAGAUGUGGAGGAACACCAGUGGCGAAGGCGGCUUUCUGGUCUGUAACUGACGCUGAGGCGCGAAAGCGUGGGGAGCAGACAGGAUUAGAUACCCUGGUAGUCCACGCCGUAAACGAUGAGUGCUAAGUGUUAGGGGGUUUCCGCCCCUUAGUGCUGCAGCUAACGCAUUAAGCACUCCGCCUGGGAGUACGGCCGCAAGGCUG